rnacentral:misc_RNA from 1 species
UCUAUACCUCUUGGGGGGCUACCGCCCUCUGCACACUGUGAACCUGUUUUUAACUUGGCGGGAUUGCCUCGGCGCCCGCCGCUGUAUGUUUACUUUAUUCUUUUUUCUUUCUUAUUUAAACUUAUA